rnacentral:rRNA from 1 species
ACGCGACCCCAGGUCAGGCGGGGCCACCCGCUGAGUUU